rnacentral:rRNA from 1 species
UACGUAGGGAGCAAGCGUUGUCCGGAAUCAUUGGGCGUAAAGCGCGCGUAGGUGGCCUCAUAAGUCCGCUGUGAAAGUCAAAGGCUCAACCUUUGAAAGCCGGUGGAUACUGUGAGGCUAGAGUACGGAAGAGGCGAGUGGAAUUCCUGGUGUAGCGGUGGAAUGCGCAGAUAUCAGGAGGAACACCAAUAGCGAAGGCAGCUCGCUGGGACGGUACUGACGCUGAGGCGCGAAAGCGUGGGGAGCGAACAGG